UACGUAGGAGGCGAGCGUUGUCCGGAGUUACUGGGCGUAAAGGGUGCGCAGGCGGUGGCCCGCGUGGGCGGUGAAAGCUCCUGGCUCAACUGGGAGAGGGCCGUCCAGACGGGGUCACUUGAGGGGCGGAGAGGGGCGUGGAAUUCCGGGUGGAGCGGUGAAAUGCGUAGAUAUCAGGAGGAACACCGGUGGCGAAGGCGGGUCCCUGGACAACUUCUGACGCUGAGGCACAAAAGCUAGGGGAGCAAACAGG
rnacentral:rRNA from 1 species